rnacentral:rRNA from 1 species
UUGCCUCAGUAACGGCGAGUGAAGCGGCAACAGCCCAGAUUUGAAAUCUGACUUUCGGGUCCGAGUUGUAAUCUGCAGAUGAGUCUUUUGGCGGAGCGCCGUCCAAGUUCCCUGGAAUGGGACGCCGGAGAGGGUGAGAGCCCCGUACCGACGUGCGCCGAGCCUCUGCAAAGCUCAUUCGACGAGUCGAGUAGUUUGGAAAUGCUGCUCUAAUCGUGGGGUAAAUCUCCCAUAAGGCUAAAUACUGGCCAGAGACCGAUAGCGCACAAGUAGCGUGAGCGAAAGAUGAAAAGAGCCUUGAAUAAGGGCGUCAAAAAGCAUGUGAAAUUGUUGUGGGGGAAGCGCUCAACGCCAGACGUGGCGGCGGUUGGUUACCCGGCGUUCUUCGCCGGCGCACUCGGCCGUCGCCAGGCCAGCAUCAGUUCGGCCUGGGGCCUACUGCCGUGGGGAAUGUGGCCCUUCGGGGUGUUAUAGCCCCGCGGAGACGUCCUGGACCGGACUGAGGAACGCGCAUCUGCCCGGAUGCUGGCGUAAUGGCUUUUAGCGACCCGUCUUGAAACACGGACCAAGGAGUUGACCUAGCCCGCGAGUGUUUGGGUGUCAAGCCCUCACGCGCAGUGAAAGCGAACGCUGGUGGGAGCCUUUUCGGCGCACCAUCGACCGAUCCUGAAGUUCACGGAUGGAUUUGAGUAGGAGCGUGCUGGGUCUGACCCGAAAGAAGGUGAACUAUGCAUGAAUAGGGUGAAGCCAGAGGAAACUCUGGUGGAGGCUCGCAGCGGUUCUGACGUGCAAAUCGAUCGUCAAAUUUGUGCAUGGGGGGCGAAAGACCAAUCGAACUU